AUACGGCUAUGGUUCAAAAAUCACGUAAAUCGGGUAAAGUCUCAGAGCCGAUAGUAGCGGUCAACCCUAUUUACCGUUAUUAUUCCUUAUGGGGAGCCCUAUCGUCGGAAGGUAAAUGUCUCAAAUUUUAUAUGGCAGUUGCGUCUCAUCNNNNNNNNNNNNNNNNNNNNGGAGCCGAUAGUAGCGGUCAACCCUAUUUACCGUUAUUAUUCCUUAUGGGGAGCCCUAUCGUCGGAAGGUAAAUGUCUCAAAAUUUUUAUAUGGGCAGUUGCGUCUCAUCUACGUGAGAGUUUUUGGUGUGGAAGGUUUGACCAAAUUACGUAAUAUAGGGGGAGAUAUGAGCAUUUUCGUGAAUUUAUAGACUUUAGCCGACGAAAAUAUAUGAAAAGUCGUCGGCUAAGGUCAAAAAAUUUCAAAAUUUUUUAGGCGGUAAACCAAAGUUGGAGGAAAAUUUUCAAAGGACUUUAGCCGACGAAAAUAUAUGAAAAGUCGUCGGCUAAAGUCGAAAAAUUUUCAAAAUUUUCAACCAAAAUUUUUUGACGGUCAACCAAAAUUUUCAAAAGAGUUUAGCCGACGAAAAUAAAGAAUUUCGUCGGCUAAAGUUCUUUAUAUAGGCGAAGAUGGAUGGUAAGAAGUCUAUUAUCUGCCAGAUUUUCUUCUCGGCCUAGCUCCGCCGUCACACUAGUCCCAAAAGCUUCGCCGUCAUCUCUACUUCAUUGCUGGAUAGGUGGUGCAUCGAGUGGCGCCGCCAUGAGAGAUAAAUCGAGCUCCAAAACUCCGCCGGUUCAGAUUCGGUGUCGAUCAAAUUUCUCCUUCCUUAGGUCACCAUUUGGUGAGAUCUAUAUAUGGAUAAGUUGAGUUUGAUUAGUACUACAUUCCCCUAGAAUUUGGUAGCUCGAUUCGGUGUGUGUGAAGAGAAUCGAAGAUUUGAAGUUUUUAGGGUUUAAAAUUGGGGAUUUUUAUAUUUUGAGUCGAUUGACCUGUUUAGGCUUAGAAUUGAGCUUCGAUUUCUUCUAGAAAGUUGUUCGAAAUGUUGAGACGAAGAUUCUGUCAAAUUUUGGUCGUGAUUGGAGGUGGCCGAAAGUUUCUGCAGUUUUUUUUCAAAACCCAGCAACUUUAGCCGACGAUAUUUAAACACUAUUUCGUCGGCUAUAGUUA
rnacentral:lncRNA from 1 species